CUCUGAUCUAGACCAUUACAGAAUGCUGAAACAGGACAUGAUCGAAUCUGAAAUAGCCGUACAGAGAAAAAUAUAAUAAGCUCACAGCUCUUGUUGCGAUCAGAUUACGUCUUCUGCAAAUCGUGGUGUGUACAUGAUACUUCCAGGAAUGCUUGGAUUUGUAUCAAAUGACAAAGAGUCCCAACUAUCUUAAAAUACAUUGCAAAGAGUGCUUGAUCCCAUUCAUUGAAUAGCAUCAUAACAGCCUUGGAGAAGUGAGACAAGCCAUGUGUUUUCUCAGACCAGACUCUAGCAACUUAAACAAAGCUCUUAUUAUCUAUGCCUGACUAAGCAAAAGUAGAAAUAUUCUCAGGGCUCAAUACCAAAGAUGGAUAC
rnacentral:lncRNA from 1 species